CCUGGAUGAACAUGGAAAUUUUUUUUUUUCCAAAAUUGAAGCAGCACUAUAGAUUUUUAUAAACCGUCUACGCAGAAAAAGAUUAAUCAGUUUCCUUAAAAAAAUUCUUCCAACAAAGAAAAUACACGGGAACUGAAUAAAAAUUACUUGAACAAUUAAAAAAAAAAAUGCAAAGUUACAUUUGGUUUCUACACAACAAAAAUUUCCAUGUUCAUCCAGGAAUAUGCAUGUUAUGACUUCUUUGGCCUUCCCCGCUUGCCAGCAUUUACUUGAGAAGAAUUUGUACUCUUAUUUGCCCCCGGACGCCCACCCUUCCCUUUUGAUGCUGAUUUUCCUCGACCUUUACCAGAAAACUUUCCACCCCGCUUACUUUGUUGUGUACGGCCAUUAAACUCUUCAUCACUAUCCUCACUUUCAUUAUCACUGAGCUCUUCUUCUGAUUCUGAAGAAUCUUUGGACUUCUUCCUUUUCUUGGAAUUUUCAGAAGCUUUAGAGGCAACUUUUCUUGCAGGCUUAGCAGCUGGAGAUUUGGUCUCUGGUUCUUCACUCCCUUCACCAGAAGCCUUGCCAUCAUAGACAUCCAGCUGCUCAAGACGGUCACCAACAUUUGUUCUAUCAACUAUAACCAUGGAAUGGCCCAUACCGCAUGCCACACCAAUAACACGCAUGCCCUCAAGAAUAUCUACCUUCUGGGGUACUGAUGAAGACUUCUGUCCAUAAGGACCAUAUCCUAGUUCACCAUACUGAGCAUGGCCCCAACUUAUGCAAGAGUUAUCAGCACCAACAAAAUGGUGCAUGCUGCCAGAAUCCAUACACCGCAAAUUCCAACCACUUAAAUCCAUUAGAGGCUUAGGAUACAUCCAGUCAUCACCAGUGUUCUUUAUUUUGCCCCACAUGUACAACUGUCCACCUCCUGCAGUACAUGCAGAGUUCAGAGAACCAGCAGAAAUCACUGCAUCAGCAGGCAGAACAUUGUGCUUCGAAAAGGCUUCCACACGACGAGGAGCCCAUUCAUCCUUCNNNNNNNNAACCCUUCCAUAACCACCAAAGCCCCACGUAUAAACAUAGCCAUUUGAAUCCACAGCCACUGUAUGAUUAGUUCCACACGCAACUUUUACAAUAGUUUCCCCAGCAAGAGAAGC
rnacentral:misc_RNA from 1 species